rnacentral:ncRNA from 1 species
CGUCCUUGGCAGAAUUAGCGGGGAAAGAAGACCCUGUUGAGCUUGACUCUAGUCCGACUUUGUGAAGAGACAUGAGAGGUGUAGGAUAAGUGGGAGGUCUUCGGGCCGACGGUGAAAUACCACUACUCCCAUCGUUUUUUUACUUAUUCAGUAAAGCAUCGCAUUCUACACACCACCGCAUAUUGUUCAGCUAUGUUUCUAUGUUAAAUGUUUCUUAGAAAGGUGAAUUAUUUUAAUAAAUUUAAAUGGUUUCUAAAUUACAGUUGCAGUAAUACUAAAAAUGAGAAAUGUGAAUGUCCGAAGUGUGUCAGACUGAAGCAGUGUAUUGAAGCGCCUUGGUGUAUCUCUCUAAACCUCUAUGU